AAUUGCCCCCUGCAAAAGAGUUUGUUGCAGCGUACAUAAUAAAAGCCCCCUACAAUAGACCUUCCAUUUUGCAGCGUACAUGGUAAAAGCCCCCUGCAAUUUUUUUUUUAUUUUUUUCGCUGCAAAGGUAGGUAGUUCUAUUCAGACCCAUUUCGUCUCAAACCUCGAGCAAAAUAGAAAUCUAAAAUCCCGCGCUCACUCCUUCUUCUACCCGAGCAUUCUUCUAUUUGGAUUUUGGAGAGAGAAAUCGUUGUUAAUUUCAUGAAAUCAGGGUUCGAAUUCGUUUGGUGAAGAGGAGGAAAAAGGAAAAUCGAUUUUUUUUUAGUUUCGUUUUACAAGCCCUAAAAAACCCUAGUUUCGGAAAUUAGGGCAAAGGAUUUCAAAUUUUGCUUGCUGUUUUGCGACAUAGGUUUUGCAAUCUAAGGGUUUCGUGUUGCGAGGGUGGUGUGUUUUGCUCAGGUGAAGGAGGUUUCAGAAGAUUGGAGUUGGAGUUCCCAUCUGCUGCAAAAGAAAUGAAUUGAUUGAUUUUGAGGAAAGAACAAGCGCAUAUGAGGAUGUCAACAUGACUACAUGGUAAAGAAUCUAAAGCCCGCCUUACACUCUCUCCCCUUUUUAUCAGUAUAUAUGCUUUGAAGGGUCCUUUAUAUAUGAUGCUGUG